UUGAGUGAAAUUAGAAUAUUAAAAUAUUCGAAAUUGAAUCGAAAUUUAAAAUUAAAAAUUAGAAUUUCCAGUGCGGAGCACUGGUAACGUGGCGAACGGGUGAGUAACACGUGGGAACUUCCAUUAAGUUUAGGAUAACCCGCCGAAAGGCGGAGCAAUACUAAAUGUUGAGGCAACUCAAAAGGAGCAAUCCGCUUAAUGCAAGGCCCGCGGCCCAUCAGCUAGUUGGUAGGGUAAUGGCCUACCAAGGCGAUGACGGGUAGGGGACCCGAGAGGGUGAACCCCCACACUGGGACUGCGACACGGCCCAGACUCCUACGGGAGGCAGCAGUUUGGAAUUUUGGACAAUGGGCGAAAGCCUGAUCCAGCGACGCCGCGUGCACGAAGAAGGCCUUCGGGUUGUAAAGUGCUUUUGCCGCCGAAUAAUUUUUGAAUGUAGGCGGAGAAUAAGAGGUUGCUAACUCUGUGCCAGCAGCAGCGGUAAUACAGAGACCUCAAGCGUUAUCCGGAAUCAUUGGGCGUAAAGCGUUCCGAUAGGUGGUGUAUUUAGUCUUUCAGUAAAAGCCCGAAGCUUAACUUCGGAGUUUGCUUAAGAUACUGAUACACUAGAGGGGCAAAGAGGUCCUUGGAACCAGCGGUGUAGUAGUGAAAUGCGUUGAUAUCGCUGGGAACACCGAAAGCGAAGGCAGAGGACUGGGUGCCACCUGACACUGCUAGGACGAGAGCGUGGGGAGCGAAUGGGAUUAGAUAAAUCCCGGCUAGGCUCGUAAAAUAAUUAGCCGAAGGGUGUCCCUCUCAAUGGCGACAUUGAGAUGCGCAUCCAGCUGUAUCGGGGAAACUCUUUCUCAAUCAGGCGUUUACUGGACGCGAGAAAGACAAUCCCGAGGGAAGUUGCCUCGUCGGCAACCCCGUAGAGACUAUGAAAUUGAAUAAGAUAGUUGGCAUAUUUCUGUCGUUUUGCAAUUAAUUUUAAAACCAUGCAACACGAUUCAAGAUAUGUGCCUUUGUCGGAUCAGGCGCGA
rnacentral:rRNA from 2 species